rnacentral:rRNA from 1 species
UACGGGGGGUGCAAGCGUUGUUCGGAAUUAUUGGGCGUAAAGAGCGUGUAGGCGGCCUGAUGUGUCAGAUGUGAAAGCCCUGGGCUUAACCCAGGAAGUGCAUUUGAAACUGUCAGGCUUGAGUAGGGGAGAGGGAAGUGGAAUUCCUGGUGUAGAGGUGAAAUUCGUAGAUAUCAGGAGGAACACCGGUGGCGAAGGCGACUUCCUGGCCCUAUACUGACGCUGAGACGCGAGAGCGUGGGUAGCAAACAGGAUUAGAAACCCUGGUAGU